rnacentral:rRNA from 1 species
UGGGGAAUUUUGGACAAUGGGGGGAACCCUGAUCCAGCAACGCCGCGUGAAUGAAGAAGGCCUUAGGGUUGUAAAGUUCUUUUAUAGUAGAGCAAGUAUAUAAGGUUAAGAGCUGUAUAUAUUGAGAGUAUACUAUGAAUAAGCACCGGCUAACUACGUGCCAGCAGCCGCGGUAAUACGUAGGGUGCGAGCGUUAAUCGGAAUUACUGGGCGUAAAGGGUGAGUAGGCGGAAGUAUAAGUUAGAUGUGAAAUACCUUGGCUUAACCAGGGAAUGGCAUUUAAUACUGUAUUUCUAGAGUAUGUCAGAGGGGGGUAGAAUUCCAAGUGUAGCAGUGAAAUGCGUAGAGAUUUGGAGGAAUAUCGAAGGCGAAGGCAGCCCCCUGGGAUAAUACUGACGCU